GUACCCUUAGCUCAGCUGGUUAGAUCAGACGGCUCAUAACCGUCCGGUCGUAGGUUCGAGUCCUACAGGGUACA
rnacentral:tRNA from 1 species